GACGAACGCUGGCGGCGUGCUUAACACAUGCAAGUCGAACGGAAAGGCCCUGCUUUUGUGGGGUGCUGGGGUGGCGAACGGGUGAGUAAGACGUGAGUAACCUGACCUUGACUUUGGGAUAACUUAAGGAAACUGGGGCUAAUACCGGACAGGAGCUCCUGCUGGAUGGUGGGGGUUGGAUAGUUUCGGCGGUUGGGGAUGGACGCGCGGCUUAUCAGCUUGUUGGUGGGGUAGUGGCUUACCAAGGCUUUGACGGGUAGCCGGCCUGAGAGGGUGACCGGCCACAAUGGGACUGAGAUACGGCCCAGACUCCUACGGGAGGCAGCAGUGGGGAAUAUUGCACAAUGGGCGGAAGCCUGAUGCAGCGACGCCGCGUGCGGGAUGACGGCCUUCGGGUUGUAAACCGCUUUCGCCUGUGACGAAGCGUGAGUGACGGUAAUGAGUGAAGAAGCACCGGCUAACUACGUG
rnacentral:rRNA from 1 species